UACAGAGGUGGCGAGCGUUAUUCGGAAUUAUUGGGCGUAAAGGGCGCGUAGGCGGCCAUUCAAGUGACGGGUGAAAGCCCUCGGCUUAACCGAGGAACUGCCUGUCAGACUGGAUGGCUUGAGACCGGGAGAGGUGAGUGGAAUUCCCAGUGUAGCGGUGAAAUGCGUAGAUAUUGGGAGGAACACCAGUGGCGAAGGCGGCUCACUGGACCGGAACUGACGCUGAGGCGCGAAAGCGUGGGGGAGCAAACAGG
rnacentral:rRNA from 1 species